UUCGGUGCAGAGUGACUGAUGGAGGAAUGCUGCCAUCAAAGGCUCUCAAGCUUUUGUGGUGGAGCAGGUGACUGCGGCAUUUGUGGAAGGGGAAAAAAAAAAAAAAACGAAAAACCUGAAACAAAAAUAUAAAGAUCUGAAAUGUCCAACAUCCUAGAAAUGGUCCAGUGCAAUGGACGCUCCACUCCACUCCAC